rnacentral:rRNA from 1 species
CUGGCUUGACCUAGAAAGAAUUUAGCAGAGAUGUAAAAGUGCUAGUUUACUAGGAGCUUUCAUACAGGUGCUGCACGGCUGUCGUCAGCUCGUGUCGUGAGAUGUUGGGUUAAGUCCCUGCAACGAGCGCAACCCUCCGUGUUUAGUUACUAACAGAUUAUGCUGAGGACUCUAGACAUACUGCCUGGGCCACCAGGAGGAAGGUGAGGACGACGUCAAGUCAUCAUGGCCCUUACGGCCAGGGCUACACACGUGCUACAAUGGGGUAUACAAAGAGCAGCGAUACCGCGAGGUGGAGCAAAUCUCAUAAAAUAUCUCCCAGUUCGGAUUACACUCUGCAANNNGAGUGUAUGAAGUUGGAAUCGCUAGUAAUCGUAGAUCACCAAUGCUACGGUGAAUACGUUCCCGGGUCUUGUACUCACCGCCG